UUUCCGUAGGUGAACCUGCGGAAGGAUCAUUACCGAAUUGUCAAACGGGUUGUUGCUGGUCCUCAAACGGGGACAUGUGCACGCUCUGUUUACACAUCCACUCACACCUGUGCACCCUCCGUAGUUCUAUGGUCUGGGGGACCCCGUCUUCCUGCCGUGGUUCUGCGUCUUUACACACACGCUGUAACAAAGUCUUAUGGAAUGUAUGCCGCGUCUAACGCAAUACAAUACAACUUUCAGCAACGGAUCUCUUGGCUCUC
rnacentral:misc_RNA from 1 species